CCACCAGAGCGAGAUUAUCCUGAGCUAUUAAGCCUGAAAGAAUGGAAGGCUUCCUAAUACCGCUUCCCUUCCAUUCUAAAAAGCUGGCGAUUGGGGUUAGAUCAAUCAGACCAAUCAAGGAAGUCAUUGUUGGAGCUUGUGAUCAUGCGCCAGCAUUCCCCUUGAGAAACAAAGAUGCUGCCAGUGUGCCAAGUUUGCAGCUGACGAAACUCCUAGGUUGUAACUAGAAUCGCUCUAUGCAACACCAGUUCUUAUAUGAAUGCACUUCUGAGGGACGCUGAUUGCCCUUCUCACAACAAAACUAUUCCUUUUUUAAUUGCAAAUAGGGCUCUUAGUAUUUUUUACUUUUUUGUAAAUAACAUGAUAUAUGAUUUUUCAUUUAUAUUUUAUUUUAUGUUAUUAGAAAUUAGCUUUUUUAUCUUAAUAGUAACAGUUUAUAAUCUCUAAUUACUGGAUAAGUAAUCUUGAAACACUCAAACCUUGAGAAGCAUUUCAUUUCCCUACUAGUCCAUUGAGUCAUCAGGGAUGAAAAUUACUUGUUGGUUUAAAUUUAGUACUAAGAAGUCUUUCAACAGAGAAGAAAAAGCACAGAGUGAAUUUUUAUAAAAGAUGGGAAAUUAUAGAAUCAUUAUUAUAGAUAAAGAUAACACUAGUAGCAAGAAGUUGGUGUUUUCUCUGAUUUUACUUAAUAUUAAGAAAAGUUUUGAUGACUCUGAACUCAUUUGAUUACCAUUUGUGUUUUAAAAGUACAGUGCUCAACAUUAAGGAAUAGUAAUUGCCCUUGAUCCUUAAUAUGGUCCAUAUUUUAAUAGAUCAUGAUAGUUAAGUAUACAUUCUCUGCAUUUCUAUGAGGUUGACUGGGGGAAUCAUACACACUAGACUAGUUGUAUCCUGGGAAUAUUAUAGCUGGUAACCAGCUGAUAUUGAUUCUCACUAUAGAAUGGUUGUUAUGAUGUUGGUGGUAGUGGUAGUAACAAAAGUGGUGGCAGUGAUAUGGAGUAAAAUGAAUUAUUUGUUACUAUAUUGUGCCCAGUUUCUUAGAGAUGAUUUAAUCAAUACUUCAUUUCAUUCAAGUAUCAUAAAGAUGUUUAUAGUAUUUUUUUACUUUAUUAUUUAAAUCAUAACUAACAAUAUUUUUAAAAACUUAUUUUAAUUGCUAUAAUGUCAAAUAGUUCAAAAUUAGCCAACUCCAGCUAUACGUGUUUAUAACUAUAUGUAUGGCAGACAUGACUUUCCCUCCUUUUGAGUUUGAACUGAAAGUGAAAGCUCAGUAAAUAAUCCUGCGCUUUUCCCUUAAUAAUUAUUUGCCUUUAGUGUAACACAAGAAUGAAUGAAUGAGUGAAUCAUAUAUUCUCAUUGACUAUGACAUAUUGAUGUUUUCUGUAUGUCUCAUGUGACUAUUAUUGAAGAUUCACAUUAAACAAAUGUCAUUUAACCAAGUUCUUUAUCUGAUAGGUAGACUGAGAGCAUUUUCUGAGUCUGUUAUCCUGUAUAUAACUAGACAUUUGGUAACACAGCAAACUGUAGAGCUAUCCUCAUCCUUUGGAAGUCAGCAUGUGACUGUGAUUAUCAUUCGACUGUGUCCGUAUAUCUGUUUCGUGAUGUGCUCAGGUGCUCCCAAUACUGAUUAAUGUGUGUGCUAAUAACACAUCUGUUUAAAAUGGUGUUUCUUGUCUAAGAAAAGUUUAAAACUUAAUAAAAUUUAUUUCCAAUAAAACAUGAAGUUCUUGGAGAUGCCUCUCGUUUCUGACGAUAUGUUGCAUGCUUUCUUGGUGGUUUGCUAAUAUUUUUAUUAUUUUUCUUGUUUACCAAACAGUUUGAAAAAUUUAAUGAACAAAUGCUAAUUCUUGGGCUAGUAGUUGUAUAAACUGACCUGAAAUAAAUGAGAAUUGUGUAGAGACAAAAUGCUUGUAAAUCUGUCUUCAGUUUUAUUCUAUGUAAAAACAUGUCUUGGUUUUGUGACUGUACACAGAUAUAUCUUAAUAACUUAAUGUAAACUGUGCCGUAUAAAGGUUGUUGUACCAGCCUUACUAAUAAAUACUGAAACUAUCAA
rnacentral:lncRNA from 1 species